AUGUCUAACACUGUCCUCGCUGAUUCUGCCUGGGGCAUCACCCUGCUAUCUUGGGUUACUGUCUUUCUCUUGGGAACAAGUUCAGCAGAUUCUGGGGUUGUCCAGUCUCCAAGACACAUAAUCAAAGAAAAGGGAGGAAGGUCCGUUCUGACGUGUAUUCCCAUCUCUGGACAUAGCAAUGUGGUCUGGUACCAGCAGACUCUGGGGAAGGAAUUAAAGUUCCUUAUUCAGCAUUAUGAAAAGGUGGAGAGAGACAAAGGAUUCCUACCCAGCAGAUUCUCAGUCCAACAGUUUGAUGACUAUCACUCUGAAAUGAACAUGAGUGCCUUGGAACUGGAGGACUCUGCUAUGUACUUCUGUGCCAGCUCUCUC